rnacentral:misc_RNA from 1 species
CUCUGUCGCGCCAUCUCGACUCCCCUGUGGUUCGCUCUGCUGUGCACCUCCGCUUCACCUUUCUCAGCAUUUCGGCGCGAGGUUUCGAAGAUGGGGUGCAAGUUCACCUUUCUCGUCUACGCGAUCCUCCAGCUCAUCGCGUUCCUUUCCGUGCUGAUCGGUACGCCGCUGGAGAUGUUUCGUGGCACCACGAGGGACCCGUAUAACGUAUCCUUGUGCAUCACUUUAUGGGGUACAAAGUACGACUUCCAAUGCCACUUCAUCAUGUACGCCCAGACGACGGACGGGCAGUGGGCGCGUUGCACGACCCGCCGCCAACAUUUCCGCAUGGCUGAGGCGUUGGUAGUCAUCUCCAUCAUCCUGUAUGCCUUGGCGGCGCUGCUUGGCUUCAUUAUGCUGUUCUGCUGCUCUUUGCUCCGCUGGGUAUGCCUGGCGCUCAACGUCGUUGGCCUCUUAACGUUGGGCAUCACCUGGGGCCUUAUGGUGACGGAGUUCAACAAGGGUGACGGCCCACUUUGCCUCCUCUGAAGAACAACUACAAGUUUGGCUACGGCUUCUUUCUCCUGUUGGUGGCCUGGGUCCUGGAUCUCGUCGACAUCGUCUUCUUGCUGUUCCCGUUGCCGACUAUGCGCGCAGAUGAGAGUGAGAAAUCGAACGAAAGCGUAGAGCAGGAGUAGGCGGAAGGGAGCCGCAGGAGGCGGAGGGGCGGUGUUGCUAGCCGCGCGGCAGCUUCGCGACGACGCGCUCGUGGAGGAGCCGGCGGAGCUGAUGUCAGCGUGCCAGAGGGAGGGAGCGAGGGCUGCGGAUACUCGCCCCUGCCCUUCGCCGGCAGCUCUCCGUCUGCUGCUCGCUGCCCUCUCGUGCGUGCGCGUGAGGUGCGCCGCACGCGCUGCCGAGGGGGUGCAGACGUGCAGGCACGCCCUGGCAUGCACAUGCCGAGGAGCCGCUCUCGCUUUCUGCGCUUCCGCGUCUCUUUCUCCGUUUCCCGUCGUGCUGCAUUGCUGUCGAGUGCCAGUGCGGCGUAUGCGGGCACUUGCUGACGUGUUCAUGGUUUCUCCCUCGCCUGUCUUCGUCUUCUCGUGCGUGUGCCGCUUGUUGAGCUUUCCGCCUCUCGCCUCGCUGUUGCCUUUUCUGCUGACCUGCGCAGCGGUCUGCGCGUUGUGGUGGGCAGCGCACCCUUGACGGCGACCCGCCCACCGAUGACCCCUCCCUCCCCCUCUGAGCGGUCGCCCUCGCUGCCUUGUUGAGGCAGGCCCCCCCUCUCCCCCGCACGCUCGGCGGGCGCAGCCUUGGCGAGACGAGAGGGCGAGCGGGGAAGCGAGGGGGUGGCACGGGCGUCGCCGGCCGGAGCAUUGAGGUGUGCAAGCGAGGGUGCACGGCUGCGAGGGCGAGGGAAGGCCGACGACGAGAACGGGCGAGGAAGAGACGGACGCGCUGGAAAGAGGGACGGUGAGCGCAAGGCCGCCACCGCACUGGUGGCCAGCCUCCGCCCCUCCUCCGUACAUCGGUGUCGCGGCCGCGCGUGUUUCCUGUACUUCUCUGGGGCGCCCCUCUCGCCCGUCUCUGUCUCCUCGCCCUCACGCACGCCGCAUGGACUCCUCAAACGGAGAGGGGGGAGGGGGCGGGGUGCCACGUGUGUGGUGGUGGCGGGCGCAGGAACCAAACGGGCUAAUGGGCGGACGGCGCGGGAGGAGAGAGGACGGCGUCCGCGGACCCAGAAGCGACACACAGGUGCGUACGCAGCGCUAAAGAGGGGCGAUUGCAGCUCUUGCUCCUCUUGGUUCCUUGCGCCCCAUGCACGGCCUACGUGUGCGCGCACACACCGACGCGCGCGCAGGUGCGCAGGAGGGGCGGCACCCCCUGCUGCCGUGUAAGGGGCUGCGGUGUCGGGCGGGGCAGUGGGGAGAGAGAGGGCGAGGCUGGCGAGGUGGCGGGUGGGAGGCUCUCCAUGGUGCACGAAGGGCGACCUCACGUCGGACGUGGGCGUGCGUGGUGAGGCGUGUGCCCUUUGCGUUGCUCUCGAGCCCUCGUCGCGUUUGUGCCCUCCGCUGUUUUCCGUGUCUCUUUCUGCUUCCGCAUGGACGCGCGCCUCCCCUCGACCCCCGCUGUCGCACACGGCAUGCGCGUGUGUGCCGGUGCAUGCGCCCUUGUGACCGUCCUCCCCCUUCCUCAGCGGAUGCCCCCCUCCCCGCCGCCCUCUCUUGCUGCGGCGACUGCCCGCGCUCCUCGCACUCCCAGGGAGGAAGAAGCGCCGCUGCGACAGGAGAGCCGCCGAGCACACCCUCUGUCCCGCCCCCUCCUUAUGUUGCCGCUGCUUCCUCCUCUCGUCUCGUGCUCUUGUGCGCACCCGCCGCUACGCGUCUUCACUUGCUUUGCUGCUCUUUUCCGCGUGCCGGUACCCGCGCUCCCCUUUCUCUCGGUCCUCCGCAGGCCACGGACGCGUGGGGCCCGCCUGCGUGUGCGUGUGCGUGUGCGUCUCUCCCGUCGCUUUAUGCGCGCCGCUGUCCUUCUCUUGUGCCUCUCUCCCCGUGCGCAGGCGAGAGGGGCUGGCUGAGACGGCGAAGAGAACGGCCACGGCAGCACAGCGGAGCAGGGGGACGGGGGAGGGGGUGAGUGCGCAACGGCGACGGCGCCCCCAAAGGAUAGGGGGCUAGCCCUUCAACAGGAGUGCGUGCCUGCGUGUGUGUGCUUGUCUCUGUGCGCGUUGUGUCUUUAUUAUGUCUUCGCCUUUCUUGUGUCGCUUCUUUUGCUUUUCUUUGUUUCGAUGCCUAAUCACACCACCGAGUCCUCCAGACUCCCAUGUGAAGAGUCUUUACCCCUUGCUACGGGAUUCGGUGGCGUGGUGCGACUCGGGGCGAGGCAUGGCAUGCAGGCAGAGCACAGGGUCUCAAAGGGCCCUGACCCGCGGCUGGCCAGCAUUCUCCCUGAGGUCGUCCGGCACUCACCGAGGCCACCGCCUGUUACCCACACGACUGACGUCACCGCUUCCGCCCUCGAGCAGGAGCCUGGACGCGCUGCCCGCCUGGGCCGAGGCAUGCGUUCCACCCGGGUCCGUGUGGCGCCUACCGCGCAGCACGUGCCCGAGGGAGGGGACGAGCAAGGACAGGAGGAGCCGGUACGACGCAUGGCCCGAUUGAAGGGCAGGCAGUGCGUCCUUGGCGACCAGGAUGUAGCUGUGGCGCAACAGAGGCGUGCGAGCUGUGGUUGAAUGCGUAUAUUUGUCGACGUGUUCGUGGUGGAGUGGGGCGUGCAAGGGCGUCUCACUGCCACGGGCGGACACGCAAAACGUCAAUAAUGUAACGGCCAAACAGCAAGGAGGAACACGCGCGCGCACACGCAGGCGACAGUGCGAACGUCGCACAUAUUGUUCUCGCCCCCGACGGCUCCGCACUGCCUCCGCCUGAAAAGACAGCGUGCGCGCGCGCGCGCCUGUUUGUGUCCUCUUUCUUUUCCUCGCCUUGCCUUUUGCUUUUGUGUCAUGGCUUCCUGCGCGCGUUUCUGUUCGUUUCUGUCUUGCGAUCUCGCUUUCGUUCCUCGACUCGCCGACCCCCGCAGCGUCAGGGCGGCGGCCGCCAUCGCCCUCUUCUCCGGGAGGAGGCGUGGUGGUGGUGGUGUGGUGGCGCCGAGCUCUUUGCUGCUGCCAGCGGCAAGGCUGUGCUAUGCGCGCGCGUUUGCAUGCCGGUGUAUGUGCGCCGGCCUAUGUGCACACGCAUGCGUGCGUGUGUGCCUCGUGGCAACGCCGCUUCUUUUUGCACUCAUUCCUCUUCGUCCGCCCCUCUCCUCUCUGCUGCACCUUCGCGCGUGCCUCACGGGUGCUUGUUGGCGAAACACGAUGAUGAGUGGCAACCCAGAGGUGAGCGCCAAUACGCGCACGUACGCGGAAAGGGAACCGCCCAUGCGCACAUAAAGGUCCUCACUCUCGCAUACGGGCUCGGCCGGCUGCUGAGAGGCAGCGCCGGCAUCCGCGUUGCGGCAAGCCUCCUGCUGUGCUGAUUGCCGGCGCGCCUGGAGCGCUGGCGGCGGCGGCGGCGUACAUUUGAUGGUGCCGCCCCCCUCCCCCUUCCUCCCUCCCCUUCCCGGGCAGCGCCGUCACCGGGCCUACGGCACGGCGCGGUUGCCGAGGUGAUGGGCAAUGCGACCUGGCCGCUGGUGGUGGGCACUGACGGAGGGGAGCUCUGUGUGGCACCUGAGCGCAUUGUGUUGCGGGGGCCGCCGAGGAAGCUGCACCACACCGCGAGGCUGCUGGAGCGUGCGAGCUGGCUGCGCUGCUGCGCGCACGGCCCGCGCGCCGUGGAGGCCGUGGCGCUUAUCCCGAUUAGCCGGUGCUGGCGCGGGGGUGGGCGUGAACCACGGACCGCCACCGAGACCCCUCCAAGGCCGCCCGGUGGUGUGAGGGCGUGUGUGUGUGCUCGCGACGGCCGCCCUCGCCGGUGGCUGUGGCGGGUGCAAGAGUGCGCUGUGCCGCAGCGCGGUGCGCGUGGAGGGCGGGCCGCUCGCGCACGUCGGCGUCCGCGGCGCGGAGGGCAGGCUGCGCUGCGUCGUCGAGGCGCUCUGCGUGAAGCGGGGGCGCGAGGUGUGCGGCGACGCUGUGGCGCUGGCGUGUGCGACCGUCGUCUGUGCCAUCUCACCGUGGAGGGGUGCCCAUCGCGUCGCUCAGCAUGGCCGCCGCUGGGGUGCGGCGCCUCGGCCUGCGCAUGAUUGCCGUGCGCCGCCGCGAGCGGGCGUUCGCGUAGACGCAGCACGCCGUGGGCGAGUUGUUUGCCGCGGUGCAUGAAUGCCGCGUCUCGGCGGGAAGGCGCACGGAUGAGAAGUUGCUGAGGUCGGUGCGGCGCUGGGGGCGCACUGCGUUGCACGAUCCCGCACAGGACGUGUGCGUGUUUCACCACAAGCUUUUCCACUCCGCCUCCCGGUGCUGCUGGCCGCAGGCGCGCGGUGAGAUGAGGAGGUGAUGGGGAAGGGCGGGUGGUGGCUCUGCGCGAGCGCGUGGGUGUCGGGUGGAUGGGAGUGUGCACUGAUGUAGGUGCACCCUCGCGUGCUGCGACUGGCACCGCCGCCCUCCUCGCCCCAUGGGGCGCACACGGGGUCGCUGCUGCUCGCAUCCCCUGCUCUUUGGUGAUGUUCCUUUUUUUUCUUGUGGUGCAGGGCCGCGGCGGUGCGGGGAUGGGCGGUGCUGCAUCCCGCCCGCACAGACACCGAGGCCGCCCCCCGCACCUCCCCCCUGCACACACGUGUCCAUCGGCCUCGCGCAAGCGCUCCUAGGACAACGCCGACCAGAGAAAAACGCAGCAAGCGGCUCCAGGCGGUAGGCUGUGCGACUGCGGGUCUUUGCGCUCUCUUCCCCUCGUCCUCGCUGUGCGCGGCGCGAGGGGUGUGGCGAGGACAUGCGGUGAGGGGCGCGGGAGGGGCUGCCCGGAGGGUGGCAAGCAGUGCCCUCUGUUCUCUCCGCUUGGUCGCCGCCUCGUGCGCUUCUGUCUCCCCUUCGCUGCCGUGGCGGUGCGUCGCACCCCCACCGGCCUGCUGUCC